CAGCUGCAUCAGAUUUGACCCCUGUGCCCUGUUGGCAUGUCCCCAUGCUUCCUGACUAAGGUUGGCGUCCCUGGAGUGAACUACAACCUGGGACUUCCAGAGGCGGCUAUGGUUAGGCAGGGAGCAGCCAGUGUUCUGGAGUACACCCAGACAUAAACCUAGUUCGCGAUUUGAGAACAGUGGCUCCCCUGAACUGGCUUGAUAAUGUGUUCUCAGCCCGUCGAGUCAGCCACAGAGGAGCCUGGCAAUCCUCCUGCCCUGCAGAUUCUUUGAAUCCUUUUCUUUUUGUUGGUUUUGUCUGCCUAGUUGAGACAGGACUUCACUAUGAAGCCCAGGCUAGGCUUGCGUGAGAUCCCUCUGCCUCAGCCCUGCAGGGUGCUGGAUCCGGGAAUGUGCAGGCUCCUUACCGUUUGGAAGCAGGAAUUCUGCAAGGCUCAGAGCUGCAGGUGUUCCAUCCACCCUUCACCAGCUAGGCAGAGCUGCACUUCCUGUGGAUGAGACCCACAGAAAUGCGAAGAUCAACUGGGCAGCAAGUGUCAAUCACCUACUGAAUGUCACUGCUCCUCACGUCACCAGAACAGACCGUUGUGUGAAUAAGAAUGACGUCUACGAGCACCCGCCGUGCUCCACUGAAUGUAUGGGAUGCUCCUGGGAUUGGGCCAAGAGGUUCAACUCCAGCACCAGAGGGAGCAGGAUGCCAGGAGAGGCCAGCUUUGCGAACUCCCAACCCCCCCGGUUCUCAGUGGCGGAAGACUGAGUGUACAGGGACCAAGGUGGCUUGUGGUUGAGCUGAGACCACUGCACUUGGAGCGUCUGUAGCUCCAGACCCCUUCGCUUUCCUGACCCUACGGAUGAGGUGAUUCACGCUUGCUUCCUAUUCUGUCUUCAUGAAGUCAAGGAUGCACUUAGCACCCGUAUUAGUCUAUUCUGGCUCCGAGAAGAGCAUGCUGUAGACUGGGUGGCUUCUAAACAACAGACCUUGAUCUCUUGGCUGUGAAGACUGACGAGUUCAAGAUCAAGAGAUUCAGUGUCUCACAAAGGCCAGCUUCCGAUGACUUCUUCUCUUCAUGUCCUCCCGUGCCCGAGGGACAGAGUCUUCGGGUCUCAUUCACAAGGGCACUAUCCCCAGGGUCUAGUCAGCCCCCAAAGGUCUGCUUCCUGAUCCUAUCACACCACGGACCAGGAUUGCAACCUUUGAUUGGAGGGUGGGGCAUAAAUAUCCAGUCACUGACAACACCCUUCCAGAGCCCUUAGGAUUCAAAAUGAUAAGCGAAUUCUCCAUUCUGGAACUGAAACCACCUUCUGGAAAGAAAUAUAUAGAAAGAGAAAGUAUACUAGUGUCAAGAAGAGAGAACGUUCCCGCUUUCCCAAAGAUAUACAAGUGGCCAUCUCAGCAGCUCUAGAUUCUAGAUCACAGGACAGUGGAUAUGUUUGCUUAUAAAGAUAUUUUGACGUUUUAGUUUAUGACUCACAUGGAUCGCCAGAGUGGGGAUGAGGAGACCAAAAGACAUGUCUAAGGCUCUUAGUACGUCUUUUCAAAUUGCCUUCCAAAUGGGUCAGAUUAAUUUGUAUCUUAUUCGGGAUCUGUACUGGCUGUUUUGUGUGUCAACCUGACACAAGCUGGAGUUAUCACAGAGAAAGGAGCCUCCCCUGAGGAAAUGCCUCCAUGAGAUCCAGCUGUAGGGCAUUUUCUCAAUUAGUGAUCAAGGGGGGAGAGCCCCUGGUGGGUGGUGCCAUCCCUGGGCUGGUAGUGCUGGGUUCUAUAAGCAAGCAAGCUGAGCAAGCCAGGGGAAGCAAGCCAGUAAGCAGCACCCCUCCAUGGCCUCUGCAUCAACUCCUGCCUCCAAGUUCCUGCCCUGUGUGAGUUCCUGUUCUGACUUCCCUUGGUGAUGAACAGCAAUGUGGAAGUGUAAGCUGAAUAAACCUUUUCCUCCCC
rnacentral:lncRNA from 1 species